rnacentral:rRNA from 1 species
UACGUAGGUGGCAAGCGUUGUUCGGAAUUACUGGGCGUAAAGGGCGCGUAGGCGGCCUGCUAAGUCGAACGUGAAAUCCCCGGGCUCAACCCGGGAACUGCGUCCGAUACUGGUGGGCUUGAAUCCGGGAGAGGGAUGUGGAAUUCCAGGUGUAGCGGUGAAAUGCGUAGAUAUCUGGAGGAACACCGGUGGCGAAGGCGGCAUCCUGGACCGGUAUUGACGCUGAGGCGCGAAAGCUAGGGGAGCAAACGGG